GUGCUCUCUUCGGCAGCACACAUACUAAAAUUGGAACAAUACAGAGAAGAUUAGCAUGGCCCUUGAGCAAGGAUGAUGCUCAAAUUCGUGAAGAGAAUAUAUGU